UACGGAGGGGGCUAGCGUUGUUCGGAAUUACUGGGCGUAAAGGGCGCGUAGGCGGCGUGUUAAGUCAGCUGUGAAAUCUCCAAGCUUAACUUGGAACGGUCAGCUGAUACUGAUGUGCUAGAGUGCAGAAGGGGGCAAUCGGAAUUCUUGUGUAGCGGUGAAAUGCGUAGAUAUCAAGAGGAACACCUGAGGUGAAGACGGGUUGCUGGGCUGACACUGAACGCUGAGGCGCGAAAGCUAGGGUAGCAAACGGG
rnacentral:rRNA from 1 species